AUUGAACGCUGGCGGCAGGCCUAACACAUGCAAGUCGAGCGGAUGAAGGGAGCUUGCUCCUGGAUUCAGCGGCGGACGGGUGAGUAAUGCCUAGGAAUCUGCCUGGUAGUGGGGGAUAACGUCCGGAAACGGGCGCUAAUACCGCAUACGUCCUGAGGGAGAAAGUGGGGGAUCUUCGGACCUCACGCUAUCAGAUGAGCCUAGGUCGGAUUAGCUAGUUGGUGGGGUAAAGGCCUACCAAGGCGACGAUCCGUAACUGGUCUGAGAGGAUGAUCAGUCACACUGGAACUGAGACACGGUCCAGACUCCUACGGGAGGCAGCAGUGGGGAAUAUUGGACAAUGGGCGAAAGCCUGAUCCAGCCAUGCCGCGUGUGUGAAGAAGGUCUUCGGAUUGUAAAGCACUUUAAGGUGGGAGGAAGGGCAGUAAGUUAAUACCUUGCUGUUUUGACGUUACCAACAGAAUAAGCACCGGCUAACUUCG
rnacentral:rRNA from 1 species